GGGUGCGAUCAUAAUUGCACUAAUGCAUUGGAUCCCAUCAGAACUCCGCAGUUCAGCGUGCUUCAGCGAGAGUAGUACUAGGUUGGGUAACCUCCUGGGAAAUCCUCGUGUAGCACCCC
rnacentral:rRNA from 1 species